GCCUAUGAUCUACCGUGUCGAUUCCAACUCAGAGAAUCUUUACAUCUGGAGAUCUACAGCAGGGCUAUCCCUAGUGACAUGCGUGAAGGAGCUUGGAAAUGGUGCUGGGUAGGAGCUGAGUGUGCAGAAUGUGGAAAGGCAUUCUAAACCUAAGGAAGAACAUGAGUAAAGAUGAUGAAGCAGGGAUAAGGCUAAAAUGAAAUAUGUGAUCUGAUCCACAUACAAACACAGCGUAGUACAGCUGGAAUAUAGAGAAGAGCUUGAGGACCCAUGAGCAACUAUCCCAGUACUCUUGGAGGCUCUGCCACCACAGUUUGAGAAACUCCGCAUUCAAAGUUAAAAACUGUCACCUGAAUAGUUAAUAACAUCAAAGAUUGUGAAAGCAAGUAUAAAUAACACAGAGAUUAAAAUAAUGAGGCAGGAUCAGAAAUUACUGACCUCCAUAACAGCAGACAAAAUUGGAAGCAAGAGUGAUUUUGGAGGAGUCACACUUAGAUGUUUCCCUUACCUAUUUCUGUUCUGGAAAUUUAAAAAUCUUACUUCUCGUAACAGUCCUACAUGAAAAAUUAAAAAUCACAAGGAUUCAUGGAUGGAAAACUGAGACUCAGAGAAUGAUCACAUUCACAUCGUAAUAAAUCAGCAAUAGAG
rnacentral:lncRNA from 1 species